rnacentral:rRNA from 1 species
UGGGGAAUUGUUCGCAAUGGGCGAAAGCCUGACGACGCAACGCCGCGUGGAGGAUGAAGAAUUUCGGUUCGUAAACUCCUUUCGACCGAGAUGAAUAUCCAGCGAUUUAAUACGUCGCGGGACUGACAGUAUCGAGCGAAGAAGCCCCGGCUAACUCUGUGCCAGCAGCCGCGGUAAUACAGGGGGGGCAAACGUUGCUCGGAAUCACUGGGCGUAAAGGGCGUGUAGGCGGACUUGCAAGUCAGGCGUGAAAUCCCUGGGCUCAACCCAGGAAUUGCACUUGAAACUGCAAGCCUUGAGUGUCGGAGAGGAAAGUGGAAUUCCUGGUGUAGAGGUGAAAUUCGUAGAUAUCAGGAGGAACACCGGUGGCGAAGGCGGCUUUCUGGACGACAACUGACGCUGAGACGCGAAAGCGUGGGGAGCAAAC